GAGGGAUUGAGUUAGGCCAAGGGCUCUGGACAAAGGUGAAGCAGAUGGCAGCAUUUGCUCUUGGACAACUAUGUGCUGAUGGAGGUCAGUACCUUCUGGAGAGGGUGCGUGUUAUUCAGGCAGAUACUUUGAGUUUGAUACAAGGUGGAUGGACUGGCCGGGAGCACCACAUCUGAGUCAAGCUGUGAAGCUGUUCGUCAUUCCUGCAAUGUCCUGGUUGAAAGACUAAAACCUCUAAAGAAGAGAUUGGAAGAACAAAUGGGUUUUGUUUCAUGGGAACCUUUAAUUUUUCAGGUGAUGAUAUAUCUUUUUUACAAUUUUAAUUGAUGCCAUAACUGAUUUAUUGAUCUUAAGGACUUCAAGUUUCGCAGAAUUGUUAUAUGUUAGUAAUUUUGUCCCAUAAGCCUUUAUGUCCAUCUUUGAGAGCUAGUAUAGACAAGCCUUUAGCCAUUUGUUGAAGGACAUCUACAGGAAUCCGUUGUAGGGUGAUCUAGCUUCUUAACUUUUUUUUUUUUCUAUCUAGGUCAUGCCCUUUGCAUAGCAAACUAAUUCAAAUCCAUUACACCCAAGGGUUGAAGUCCUGAUGGGAUGAGAGGCAUCCCGGCAGUCCUGUCCCGUUCUUGUGAGGUAACAGGACCCAAGAAGGGUGCGGGACAGUGAAACCCACAUCUGUGAGCUAUCUUGCCUUCAUCCCAAAUGGACCACCCAACGACAGGGCCGUCCUAGAUGGGAAAUGUCUUCAUCUGAGGGUGAGUUUGUGAUUGAGGGCUUGAGGACUCCCCAAGUUCGGACAUGCUUUACCAACCUGCCAGGUCCUCCCAACCUUAGGCCUCUGUCGUGCGGGAAUGACUACAGCUCUACGCAAGGUUCGCCGUACCGGUAUCGAACCCCGUACCGGUGCCGCACUAGUAUAGACGUACCAAGUGUCGGUACGGUACGGUAUGCGGUACGGUACGCUCGGUACCGGCCGGUACAGCGAACCUUGGCUCUACGCCUCUUCCAUUUUGGCCGGAGCACCUCAUUCAAAACAAUUAACAUUAAUUUUUCCAUCAAAUAAUAUUAUUUAAAAAAUAUAUAUAAAAUUGAACCCCACAAUCAAUAUUAAUUUUUUUCAAAAUAAUAUUAUAUAAAAAAUAAAAAAGCACCCACAUUGAAUUCAACAUUCAACAUUGAAUUUUGUCUCAAAAUAUUAUUAUAUAAAAAAUCAAAAAAAUAUAAAAUUGAAACCCCACAUUCAACAUUAAAUUUUUCCUCAAAUAAUAUUAUAUAAAAAGUAAAAACAUACAAAAAAGGGAAUAUAAUUAUAUUAUAUUAUAUUUACAUAUGUAAUAUUAUAUUUGAAUAAAUAAUAUUAUAUGGGAAAAAAAAUUAGAAAAAGCAUCCUAAUUAAGUACACACUUGACCCUUUAUUUCUAAUGGGUAUGAAACUUUAGAUAAUAUUUCUUGCUCAUCCUGCUCCUCUUGAAUAGCAAUGUUUUCAAACAUAGGAGAAUGGAUCACCAUGUUAAUUGCCAGGAGUAGCAAUUUAAGAAGAUUAAAAAAUAAUAAAAUAAUUAUAUACAUGCACUUAGGAGAUUUUGCUUAUGUUCAUUUUUAUGGCAGUUUUGUUGACUUCACUGCUACUCAUGUGACAUCUAAGUACCAAGUUAUAAGUUUCAAAACUAGAAAACUGAAGGCAAAAGUGAUUGGUUAUGAGACUAAGCUCUAUGCGAUAAAACUUGCACACCUUUGUGAAAUCAAAGAUCUCCAAUAACCUAGAAGGCAACAAGAAAAUAGUGUCAAUUUUAAGUAGAUAUAUGAAUAAGACAAGAUAAUCCCAAACAAAUAUUCAAGCAAAAGGUUUUCGUGAAUAAUGGACCAACAUACAUAGAUAUGCUUAGCCUAUGCAAAUAUUUACCCUCAUGAAAUCUGACAAUAGCAAGUCUUAAUGCAACUUAAGCAACAUUGAUCAAUUGUGGCACGGUUUUAUUAGCUAGAAUUGUCUGAUCAAUAAAGAAAUAUUAAUAGGCAAGAUUCAGAUAAUUAUAUUCUAAUUUACAUAGCUUCUCACCUUAGAGUUAUGCUAAAUAGACCCAGUUUAUCUUAAAUAUAUUACUAUUGAAGUUCAAAUAUAUUUAAAAAGAAAAAUAGUAAAACUUCACAAAUGGGAAAGGAUCCAAUCAGAAAUAGAAAUAUGACGACUGAUUGUAAUCAGAAUUAUGCAAUAUUCCCUAGUCACAUAUGGGCCAUAGGCUAGGUCAGCUUUGAUAUCUUUACUAACAACCUAGGACCUCACCUAAAAGACUAGCCAGAAGUUGUAAUUGGGUUCCUUGGCUUUGUUUAAGUAUCCAAAAGUUUUCUAACACACUACUGAUGUUAGACUAAACACAUGCUUGUAUGGUUGGUUACACAUUUUGUGUAUUUUGACCGUAAAAAUAAUAAAAUAAAAUAAGGAAGUCAGUGUCUACAAUUACAUCAAAAUUUAUCACUCACCGUUAGAGGUAGCCCAUCUAAAUUAAAAUGAACCCCCUGUUCAUGUAAUCCCUUUGAAGCUUGCUUGCAUAAGAUCUGUGGUUUAAUGAUAAUUCACGUUCAUUUUCUCGAGCUGUUCAUAGAACUCUUUUGUUUUUUUUUGUUGUUGUUUUCCCUAAUAUCUGCUAAUAACCAUCUAUACUUGGAUCAGCUUCUCAUCCCCCAAAAUCAUUUUUCAUCUCCCUUUCCAACACAUCCAAUUUUUCAAUCCCAGAAAAACUAUGCUCCUUGAAAGUGUACACUGCUUGAAUAGAUUCUUGAUCCCAGCUGAUCUGGUAAUGCCUUGACCGUGGUUCAAGAUGAUUCACAACUCACUAAGAAUCGUCUAAUUACACAGGCUAAUCCUGGAUUGGAAGAAACAUAUAUAUGUUGUUUUCUGUUGAAUGAGAACUAUUAUGCAUACAAAAUGUUGUAGAACCUGCAGUAAAUAUCACGGUACAAGACACUAUAAUAAGAGAAGUGCUAAAUGAGACUGAUUUAUUAAUUGCUCUCACGUAACAUUGUGUAUUUUAACUUUCACGGGACUGUUAAAACUGGAUUAUAGAAUCAAGCAAUCUCUGAGAUUGUACUACUUGAGGUCCUUAUUUUUACCUAUUAUCUACAGUCCAUGAACUCUGACACCUCACUCACAGAAUAUUCCUUUAUAUGAGAGAAAAAUGGUCGGGUGAAGCUUUUUUUUUCCUGAUUCAAUAUAGCUCCAUGCCAUUCUCAUCUGCAGGCAAAUCUGGAAGCUGUCAAUUUGUCAGCAAGUACGUAUUUUGUCCCAGACUAUACGUCUAGAAGCUACCUAAAUUUUGGAGCUGCUGUAAGCGAGGUAAACCCAUGCAUAUUUUUUGGCAACAAGACCCAUGCAUUUUUGUAACCACAGAUUACUGCUGUUUAUGUCAACACUUUGAGAAUUAUGCAUCCAGCUACUUCAAUACCAAAAUCAUGAAUAUUAAAUACUAAUCUCACAUGGAUGGCGGGCGUUCCAGGUGGAGAUAGAUCUCCUUACAGGAGCUACAACAAUCUUGCAGAGUGAUCUUACCUAUGAUUGUGGCCAGAGCUUAAAUCCUGCGGUUGAUUUGGGACAGGUUUGUUGAACUCUGGAUUUCCAUGAUUCAAAUGUCAAGAACCUAUACGAUAAGGUCCGACUCCAGGGAAAGUAUCUGUUCUCAAUGAUGGUUCAAUCAUUGUUGAAGUUGGAGGGAUUGAGUUAGGCCAAGGGCUCUGGACAAAGGUGAAGCAGAUGGCAGCAUUUGCUCUUGGACAACUGUGUGCUGAUGGAGGUCAGUACCUUCUGGAGAGGGUGCGUGUUAUUCAGGCAGAUACUUUGAGUUUGAUACAAGGUGGAUGGACUGCCGGGAGCACCACAUCUGAGUCAAGCUGUGAAGCUGUUCGUCAUUCCUGCAAUGUCCUGGUUGAAAGACUAAAACCUCUAAAGAAGAGAUUGGAAGAACAAAUGGGUUUUGUUUCAUGGGAACCUUUAAUUUUU
rnacentral:lncRNA from 1 species